CUCAAUAUUAGUAAGGUGUUCCUAAUGUUUGGUUUACUCCAAUGUUUUAUAUUAUUGUAACCGGGUAUAGAUACCCUUCUGUGUAGGUGUAGUAUGGCAUGGUAUUAUCUACAAAAAAACUCAUAAUGAAUGGUGGUACAGUAACAUGCAAUAUACAACUAGAUAACAGCUGUUCCUUAUGUCAUGUUUGUGUUUGUCCACCUCCUCCUCCAUGCAGACGAGCUGUUCAACUCCCAGAAGACAGAGGCUGACAUCCUCAGCAUCGUCUCCAAGACGAGGAGUUUGAACAGGUCAAGAUGGAGGAACAAGAGCAGAUGCUGUGUAACUACUGUGAGAUGCCUGAGGCAGGCGGAGUGGAGAACGGAUACGGCAAGAUCAACAUCCUACUGCAGACCUACAUCGGCCGGGGAGAGGUGGACAGCUUCUCCCUCAUCUCAGACCUGUCCUACGUAGGACAGCUCGUAUCAUCAGGGCUCUGUUUGAGAUUGCUCUGAGGAAGCGCUGGCCUCCCAUGACCUACCGCCUGCUCAACCUGUGUAAAGUGAUAGACAAGCGUCUGUGGGGCUUCGCUCACCCCCUGAGACAGUUCUCCAUCCUGCCUCACAACGUGCUGGCCCGUCUGGAGGAGAAGAAACUGUGGACAAACUGAAAGAUAUGCAGAAGGACGAGAUAGGUCACAUGCUCCACCAUGUGAACAUCGGGUUGAAGGUGAAGCAGUGUGUCCACCCUUCCAUACUGAUGGAGGCCACCAUCCAACCAAUCACACGCACCGUGCUCAGGAUCCGCCUCCAGAUCACCCCCGACUUCCAGUGGCACGACCAGUGUCAUGGUUCAGUGGGAGAGGCCUGGUGGCUGUGGGUGGAGGACCCCAUCAACGAUCACAUCUACCAUUCAGAGUAUCUGCUCCUACAGAAGAAAUAGGUGGUGAGUGGGGAGCCCCAACAGCUGGUGUUCACCAUCCCUAUCUUUGAGCCCAUGCUCUCCCAGUACUAUAUAAGAGCUGUGUCAGACCGCUGGCUGGGCUCAGAGGAUGUCUGCAUUAUCAACUUCCAACACCUCAUCCUGCCUGAGAGACAUCCCCCCCACAUACUGAGCUGCUGGACUUGCAGCCGUUGCCCAUCACCGGCCUGGGGAACCCGGAGUAUGAGAGUCUGUACAAGUUCACCCACUUCAAUCCCAUCCAGACACAGAUCUUCCACACGCUCUACCACACCGACACCAACGUCCUGCUGGGGGCCGAGUUGGCCAUGUUCCGAGUCUUCAACCAGUACCCUACCUCCAAGCUCUGUCUGCCCCCCUUCACUCUUUCUCUCUCUCUUUUUCUCUUUCUAUAUCGCUAUACAUUUCUCUCUGUUGAUAUCCUUGCUCUGUGUGUGUUCUUAGGUGGUGUACAUUGCCCCCCUGAAAGCUCUGGUCAGGGAGAGGAUUGAGGACUGGAAGAUCAGGAUAGAGGAAAAACUGGGGAAGAAUGUUGUGGAGCUGACAGGUGAUGUGACUCCAGACAUGCGGGCCAUCGCCGCGGCCGACCUGAUCGUGACCACGGCGGAGAAGUGGGACGGCGUGAGUCGCUAAAGGCAGAACCGCAGCUACGUCCAGAAAGUAGCCAUCCUCAUCAUCGUUGAGAUCCACCUGUUAGGGGAGGACAGAGGUCCUGUGCUGGAGGUCAUAGUGUCCAGGACCAACUUCAUCUCAUCCCACACCAACAAGACUGUCCGGUGGUGGGCCUGUCCACGGGUGGGUUUGUUUAACUUCCGGCCCUCUGUGCGUCCCGUCCCAUUGGAGUUUCACAUCCACGGCUUCCCAGGACAGGCCAGCAUGAACAAGCCUGUGUUCCAAGUGAUUCGCAGUCACUCUCCAGCCAUGCCUGUUCUUAUCGUUGUGUCGUCGCGGCGACAGACUCGUCUGACAGCUCUAGAACUGAUAGCCUUCCUGGCCACGGAGGACAACCCC